rnacentral:rRNA from 1 species
AUGGGGUCACUCAGGACGGCUGGCACAGCUCAGCGCCUGGCUCUGCCGGAGUCCUCGUCUACAUACUUGCUUCAAGAACUAAAGAUGAUAUGGGACGAGGUUGGACAAGAGGAAAAUGAGAGGGAAAGAAUACUGGAAGAGCUAGAGCAAGAGUGCCAGGAAGUUUACAGGAGAAAAGUAAAUAGUGCUAAUAUGUUGCGGAUUCAACUGCAUCAAUCAUUGGCUGAAUCUGAAGCAGAAUUUACCAACCUACUUCUUUCCCUUGGAGAAAGAUCAUUCCCAGGCCGACCUGAGAAAAUGAAUGGCACUCUAAAGGAGCAGCUGAAUUCCAUCACACCAGCCCUGCAAGAAAUGCAAAUGAAAAAAGAAGCCAGACUAAAACAGUUCACAGAGGUUCAGACUGAAGUACAGAGAAUCGCCUCCGAAAUAGCAGGACGCUCGGAGAAUGAAGUUGUCACAGUAAAUGAAGAUGAUUUGUCGCUCAAGAAACUUGAGGAGCACCAAAGUGAGCUGCAACGACUUAAAAGAGAAAAGGGCGAUCGCCUAUGCAAAGUUGAAGAGUAUAAAGUUCUAAUUUGCAAUUUCGCAAAGAUUAUGGGGAUGGAUCCCUCAAACGUUCUUGCAAGUGUUCACCCCAGCUUGCUAAUUGGAGCAAAUGAACAACAGAAAAAGAACAUCAGUGACGACAUCCUUAACAAGCUCAAUACUAUGGUCCAGCAGCUUAAAGAAGAGAAGAACCACAGAUUGGAAAAGCUCCACAGCCUUGGAAAAGCCUUGACAAACUUAUGGAAUAUACUAGAUACUACGAUGGAGGAACGCCAGCCGUACGGGCAAAUUAAUAUAUUUUCAUUGACUUCAGCCAAUGGUAUGCUAGGUCCUGGAAGUCUAAGACUAGAGAAAAUUCAGCAGAUUGAAUCUGAAGUUCACCGACUAGAUCAGUUAAAAGCAAGCAAAAUGAAAGAGCUAUUCAUCAAAAAGAAAGCUGAGAUUGAGGAAAUUUGCAAGAUAUCCCACAUGGAUGUGCCUUACCAGACAGAAAUGGACAACAUAAUGGAACUGAUAAUGUCAGGAGAUGUGGACCACGAUAAUCUACUUAAGACAAUGGAUGGAUAUAUAUACAAAACAAAAGAGGAGGCCACAAGCCGUAAAGAAAUAAUGGACAAAGUCGAAAAAUGGAUCACUUCAUGUGAUGAGGAGCGGUGGCUAGAAGAAUACAGCAGGGAUGAGAGAAGGUACUCAGUAAGCAGAGGAGCCCACAGGCACUUGAAACGCGCGGAACGUGCUAGAAUUAUAGCAAACAAAAUUCCAGGCUUGGUAGAGCUUCUAAUUGAAAAGACAGAGAUCUGGGAACAUGGGAGAAAAAAGAUAUUCUACUACGAUGAGCUUCCCCUUUUGGAAAUGCUGAAACAGUACAUGUUAACACUGAAGGAAAAGGAAGAAGAGAGAUGCAGGCAACGGGAGAAUAAAAAGGUACAGACUCAACUUGUAAAGAGGAAUGAAAAUUCAUUUAUAUCAAGGCCCAACACAGGCUGCAGUCGUCCAUCCAGCAGAGGCUUCAAUACCAGCCAUCGCUCUACCUCCUUUUCAAGCCACAGAGUUUCUUCUGUAGAUCAACAACCUAUUUCAGAUAACUCAGCUGAAAAAGAUAUGCAUAUAAGAAAAGUUAGGGACAGAAGUAUGCAGAGUAAGGUGGGGAAUAACAGAAGCUGUACAGUCCAUGAUGAAGAUAAAACAUCAGGGGUCUCCACAAAACAAGGCCUUUCAUCAAUUUAA